GAUGAAGAUCGUAGCAAAAUGCGAUAAGUAAUGUGAAUUGCAGAAUUCAGUGAAUCAUCGAAUCUUUGAACGCACAUUGCGCCCGCCAGCACUCUGGCGGGCAUGCCUGUUCGAGCGUCAUUUCAACCAUCAAGCCCCCAGGGGCUUGUGCUGGGGCCCUGCGGCUGCCCGCAGGCCCUGAAAACCAGUGGCGGGCUCGCUAGUCACACCGAGCGCAGUAGCACAUCUCGCUCAGGGCGUGCGGCGGGCUCCUGCCGUGAAACCCCCCACUGUAACCCCAAAGGUUGACCUCGGAUCAGGUAGGAAUACCCGCUGAACUUAAGCAUAUCAAUAAGCGGAGGA
rnacentral:misc_RNA from 1 species